ACGACGAUACUGUUCAUCUUCCUGCUGCAGGAAACUGGCAACGUUUUGCGGUUUAUUCAUGCGAAGGGUCGUCUUCAACACAAUUAUUAACUAUUGUCGGUCUAUGAUUCAAUGCUUCCUCAUUUAUUGACUCCGUCAGAAACUUCAAGUAUAAAAAGAAACGCUUUCUUCGUAGACUCCGGCUAAAACACUUACAACGAAGAUGAUGAUUAUCACUUUCUCCGUCGAAUUGUUUCCUCCGAACAUCAAAAUCAAUGGAGGCAACAUCUACGUGUGAAGGAGAAACAAUCUCGGCGAAGGCAGAUCAAACGCUCGCCAGCGGAGAAGGCGCUAAUCAGGCCGCGUUUGGAGCGGAGUUGCUUUACUCACCUCUAUCUGCUUCACGAGUUGCCACCGUGAAUCUUUAGGGUUCGUUGUUAGCUGGAAGCUCUGAUUAGUUUCACCAACAAUGGAGGUUCUGAAAGAGCAAACCCCCAUGAAUUUGUACGGUUUGGCAUGAUUGGAGACGUUUGCGGCGAAAGGAUAUGAAUGCACAAGAGAAUGAAGAGAAAUGAUGCAGAUCAUGUUGAUGUUUUAGUCCAUCUGAUUCAGCAAACUAAACAAGCACAUUGAUCCCAAUAAUGCUCUUUAGCUUCCCUUAGAAACCUUAAUGGUUGAUUUUUAAAGAGUCCACAUGAAUUUCUCUUUCAGAUGCAUAAGGUAAAACCACAACAAUUUUAUGUUGAUUUUUUAGUUUACUCACUGCAACAUUCAACCAUCCAUCUCAGUUAGGCUUGCACUGCUUAGUGCAGUGGGGGUUUGCUACAAGUCAAGAAAGUUGCCAUUGCUUAUAUAACUUCGCCAAAAGAUUGUUGGGAACUAACUCAAAUCUAGCUAGCCAUGCCAAGCUGACCACACACGUUGUGGAAGCUACUAAACAUAACAUGAUGGAUGAACCGUUAGUGUAUAAACAAAUUAAUGCCAUCUCAACAUAUAUAUAUUUAUUUAUUUAUUACUAAGGUAUGCAGGUUUACGUGGUUCUCUGCAGCAUAACAACUUUCUGUGAUAUUUGCAGGUUUUCUUUGCUCUCCAUCUUAACUCUUAAGACCCAUGAUCAAUUCAGAUUUGUAAGUCUGAGGGUUUUAUGUGAUCAAUGCGGCAGUGGAUGAAGUUAAAUAAGUAUAGAAAAAUUGUUUUGUUUAUAUACAUAAUUUACAAUAUGUAAAUUGUGAAUGAUGUAGCUGUGUAGAAAUAUUAACUGUAGUAUAUAUUUUUAAAACAAAAGAUUGAAAUGGAAAUGUAAAGUAUUAAAAUCUGCAUGUUAAGUAUUUAAAGAAGUAAUUGCAGAAAUUAAAUGUUAUAAAGUAUACAGAGGUAACGAUAUAGAAA